rnacentral:rRNA from 1 species
UACGUAGGGGGCAAGCGUUGUCCGGAUUUAUUGGGCGUAAAGAGCGUGUAGGCGGCCAGGUAGGUCUGCUGUGAAAACUCGAGGCUUAACCUCGAGCUGUCGGCGGAAACCAUCUGGCUAGAGUCCGGAAGAGGAGAAUGGAAUUCCCGGUGUAGCGGUGAAAUGCGCAGAUAUCAGGAGGAACACCUGCGGUGUAGACGGCUUACUGGACCAUCACUGACGCUGAGGCACGAAAGCGUGGGUAGCAAACAGG